GAUCUCCUUUUCUGUGGUGAUCUUUGACGACAGCUCUUCAAUCUGAUUCGACGAGGAUGACGAAGAAAUGGACCAAUCAUUGGUGCUGUGUUUGGACUGCAACAAGGGUGGUCGCUCCUUUUUACUACCCGGGAUCCUGAUGCUGGCGAAUCUGUCCAGCUGCACAGACGACAGAAAGAAAGGACAAUGAAACACAGGAAAGCAACAAGAUAAAGAGACUGAACGGUGUAAUAAGAUGCAACAGUAACUUACUCCUCCUGCUUUCGUCUCUGCUGGAUUAAUGGUACGAAACACAGAAAUGGCAAAUAUAAAAUGAAUGAAUAGACA